ensembl:snRNA Gm24356 U6 spliceosomal RNA
GUGCUGGUUUCAGCAGCACAUAUACUAAACUUGAACAACACAGAGAAGAUUAGCGUGCCUCCUGUGUAAGGAUGACACACAAAUUUGUGAGCCGUUCCAUAUUUUU